rnacentral:rRNA from 1 species
AUUGCCUACGGGAGGCAGCAGUGAGGAAUAUUGGUCAAUGGGCGAGAGCCUGAACCAGCCAAGUCGCGUGAGGGAUGACUGCCCUAUGGGUUGUAAACCUCUUUUGUAUGGGGGGAAUAAGCUUUACGAGUAGAGUGAUGACAGUACCAUACGAAUAAGCAUCGGCUAACUCCGUGCCAGCAGCCGCGGUAAUACGGAGGAUGCGAGCGUUAUCCGGAUUCAUUGGGUUUAAAGGGUGCGUAGGUUGUUUUAUAAGUUAGCGGUGAAAUACCGAUGCUCAACAUCGGGGCUGCCGCUGAUACUGU